rnacentral:tRNA from 1 species
GCUGGCGUAGCUCAGAUGGUAGAGCGCAUCCUUGGUAAGGAUGAGGUCGGCAGUUCAAUUCUGCUCGCUAGCU